rnacentral:rRNA from 1 species
CUCCCCUGACGUUAGCGGCGGACGGGUGAGUAACACGUGGGUAACCUACCUAUAAGACUGGGAUAACUCCGGGAAACCGGGGCUAAUACCGGAUAACACAUGAAACCGCAUGGUUUCAUGAUGAAAGACGGUUUUGCUGUCACUUAUAGAUGGACCCGCGGCGUAUUAGCUAGUUGGUAAGGUAACGGCUUACCAAGGCAACGAUACGUAGCCGACCUGAGAGGGUGAUCGGCCACACUGGAACUGAGACACGGUCCAGACUCCUACGGGAGGCAGCAGGU